AAAAGCGUAGCAGACAUUAC
rnacentral:miRNA from 1 species